AAAUCAGUCUUCAGGAGAAACGGGGUGGUGUGGAUAAGGCUGGAAGAAAUGGCAGGUAGUGGAGAGUGUUGGGGUGUUCGAUGGAAGACAAAAACAUGGGCCGUUCUCUUCAGUCUAGUACCCAGUGAACUGUCCAGGUAAUUGUUUUGUAAACAAUUUUUCUAUUUAUGAAAAUGUGUGCUUUUUCUUCUUACUUUCUAAAAAGCUGUUGGUUAUCAGUUUCCUGGCUGGGCACAGGCGUCCUGAGUCCCUCAGUGACCGCUCUCAGCGUGCUCAGCCUCCGUCUGGAUGCACCAUACUGUCUGCCCUUUCCCUUGUAGAGUUUUCUCUCAGACCCAGGGGAUAACUUUGGGUGUUUCUUCCCCCAAAUGCUCUCAGACCUGUGACCAGGAAUGACUCUGUCUCUGGAACUCGGUUUCCUACACUCUGUCUUUCCCUUGUGCUUUGGCUCUGAGGGUCCCCUUUGGCUUUCGAGACUUGCCGAGGUCUGGUCCAGUUCUAAGGUACUGCUGCUGUCUGAAGCAGCACCCUUCACUGCUUUGUGUUCACAGCCACAGCCCAGCAUCACCUCGGGAGCAGCCUGGGCUGAGGAGCCUUCCACGUGUUGUUAACCUGGCUGGACAGGUGUGGGUGUGUGGUGUCAUCUCUGCCCAGGACUCAGGGAUCUACAGCAGAGAGUUAGUGUUGCUGGGCACAGGGUGUGGCUCAGUGGCAGACAGAGUGCUUGUCUAGCAAGCCCAAGGCCUUCUGUCUGGUACUGUAUCUCCCCAGCCCCCCCCCCCCAAAAAAAAAGACUGAAUAUGAGGAAUGAGUACUGUGGGUAACUAAGUUCUUGCCUGUCCAAGCUAGGUAAUAUGUGUGUUACCAUGGAAGAAUGGCCUACAGGAGCCGUGGUUAGGGAUUUGAGUGGGCAAUUGUUAAGUAAUAAGUAGAGACAGAAAACUGGAUUGGGAAUUCAGAGAACCAGCAUUAACCCCCUUACCUCGUCAGCUGGAGCUCCCACUGAGAGUCCUGGGCAGAGCACAAGUGUCCCCUCAGGUCAGGAAUCCACAUAAGAGAACAAAGAGCAGCACUAAAAACAACAUCAUUUAGUUCGGUGCUCACGACACCCCAGAAACGAGCUGGGGGGCUGCUACCAUCGGUCGGUCAGCAGGGUUUUCUCCCUCUCCCUCUGCAGGCGCUUGGGUAGCAAGGACAGGCUGUAGCGAGCCCUCUGACCUUGGAAAGGUGUCUGGGAAUAAAUUACUUCCCAGCUGUUUCAAGCGAUGUAUUUUGACUCUUGGAUUAUCAAAGUGUUUUGUCAUUUGUCAUAAAGUCAGGGAAGGGGCACACAUCCCCAGACAAAGGGCCAUGGAGGAUACGUUUGAGACAAACAUGUUCCAUAGCUUCUUAGCUUAACUAGCCCUUGACAUUUAUUGAUACAGUGUAUAUUACAACAUGAAUU
rnacentral:lncRNA from 1 species